rnacentral:lncRNA from 14 species
GAUGUGGAGGCGUUUCUGAUUUUGCCUGAUAGGAGAUGGUAACUAUCUACAUGGAGAUUAACUGGGGUGGGGGAAGGCAAAAAGAUAAACAUUAUUGUUUAGAAAAUUACCAUUUCCUAAUUUUUGUUAUCUGGGAUGACAGUUGUCUUAGAGGCACAGCUUACAAAGCUGCUACAAAAGCAACAUGCUGGGAGUCAUGUCCUGCAACACACACUCCUGCAGAAAAAACCCAAGGAAGUGACAGUACACUUUUCUCUGUGUGUCCUCUAAACCUCUAAAUUCAAUGCAGUAAUUCUAAUUAAACAAGGAUGUAAUACAUUCACAACUGGAAUGGUGAGCAGCACACCCUGUCCUGGCUUGCACCUCACCAGGGCACCUUGCCCAUGGAGCAUCAGCCGGCACAGGACUUGGCCUGGGACCCUGAGUGAUGCUGAAGGUGUGGAUUCCUGCUCCACAGGUGCCAGGGAGGGUUACUCGAGAGACAGCAGCUAUGCUCUGGUUUAACUGUGCUGACGUCCACUUACUUCCAACACUUGCUUGUGCAGAUCAGAUGCAGCUUCAUCAAAGCAAACUGUGAUGUCAAUUGUGAUGAGAUCAGCCUCCAUUUUCUACUCAAGACCACUCCUGUAGCACCAGCAAGCACUAAAUAUCACAUCCAGAUCUCCUGCAGGAAGGGUGCAUGCAGUUACGCCUGCCUAAUCCAAGACCAAUUGAUCUUUUCAGUCUUGCUACUUUUUCCCAAGGCACAGGGACACCUCCCAGCCUGUGGCACUGGACUGGCAAGCCUGAAGCCAGGCUGUGUGCAAGGCCCACACCAAGCGUGGAAUGACACACAGCAACUUGCAACAGGAUUAAGUGCAACCCUGACAGUACUGCUUUUUCUCAGCUUUGAGGAGAAGUGCCAUGUGGAAAUACUUAGCACAAUGAUUUUGCAUCUUCCUUCUGAUUUUUGAGUUGUUGCUUGAAAAUACAUAGGCUUAAUUGGAAAUGGAGGGACAUGUGUGCAAGGGCAGCAUGGCAAGGGGAAUGGAACAGGGCUCAGCAGUGAGAUCUCCUGCUAGUCUGGAGAGUGCUUUUCAGAGGAAGCCUAAGCAGAUGUGUUUAACAGAAAAGCUGCAGUAAUGGCAAACAGCCCUGUUUCUGCCACUGCCGGUAUACUGACCUGGAUUUCUGAGAUGUAAAGUAAGGCCCCCAUACUCAUUUGCCAUGUCUCUGUCGGGCCCACGUAUAGUUUUCUGCCCACUAACUAGACAGAAGGCAAGGCUUUGGAGUCAGCUCGUCCCACCUGGCUGCUUUAAUGCAGCACCUGGAACACAUGUGUUAUCUGACUCUUCACGCGGGCACCUAGCGCCUGAUGUUGUCCUUAAAUGCUUGUGCCUUGUCCUGAUCCUGGUGCAUGCUGCUGCCAUCUGUUCAAACCAGUGGAUACCCCAUAGAUAGCACUUCCUUUUCCUUUUUUUCUUUUUUCCCUGUAAAAGCAAAUGGGGUGUGCAGUCUGUGAUCCCUUCCUUCUCCUUUGGAGAGAAGUCUGGUGGGAAGAGCAGACACAGGAUCACAAUACCAUGAUGGAGGUCUGAUUUUUGCAGCAGCUUUUGCAUCAGCCCUGCCUGGACUCUUAUCUCACAGCACCGUCCACCUUCACAAGCAUCCUACGGCUGCAGUGGUGAAGAGCUGCAUUUGAGGGAGCGAGUCUCUUGCCUGAAGACCCAGGUGCCUGCAGUGGCACCAUACAGUUGAGGUGAACCUUGGAGAAGGAUGAGCACAGGACCCCCACAUUCCCCUGCCUGUAGUCCAGCAUAGACCAGCAGUAGUCCAGCCCCAGAUCAGCACUGGAAUGGCUCCUGAGAAAAUGCCUCCAGCAAGCCCAGCUCCCUCUGCCUCCAAGCCAGAGGUAGAGGAAGCAUGCUGCCCACCACCCCGCUCAGGCCUGACGACCUCCAGGAUCUUGUCAGGUAGGAGCAGUGCAGGAUCCUGUUAAUUUUUAAAGGUGAGGCCACACUGUUUUGGCAGAACUGAGGUUGUUCUUCUCAGUCAAGUGCAAACCUGCCUGGCACCAUGGGCUGCUGAGGACUCAGUCCAGUUUGUUUUUAGUAAAGCUCAGAUUCUUCUUCUCCAGACAGCUAGUCUGAAUGAUUUGCUACAGUUUGGAGAAAGAAUCAGUUAUAGAAAACAGCACAAGCAUUUGUUCUGUGGGAUGUAGUACAGAGGUGUCUGCUUUUAAAACGUCCCCGAGAGAGGCACUUAUGAAAACAGGGUACUUGCUCAUCUGUUACACUUCAAGAAAUUAACAAAAACUAAGGCUAAAACAUUCCAUGCACUGGAAAUAAGAGGAAACAGAUUUGUGAUCCUCACUCAGCCUGUAUCUGUGCACACCAGAGAAGCUCCCAGAAUAUGCACUGACAAAGAGAUGUGUGGUCAGUGUACAUUAAGCUUCCUGCUAUGGUGGGCUGCCUGGUGGAGGAGGUGAACUGCUGAGCAGGGUCUGAACACUGGCAGUGGCUCACAGCCUGCAAAUGCAGUCACAUUAAAGCAAAUGACAAGCCACCAAAGCAGAGCUAAUGGGACAUGGGGGUCUCCCCAGCAUGAGGAACCCAGCUGCCACACAACCCGAACACCCUGCCUCUUCCCUUCUCCCUCUUCCCAACAUGUUGUAGAUAACUUGAGCAUCACACAUGGAAACAUAAUGCAAAGGCUGGGGCAGAGGAUCCCCCAGAAGAGCAGUGGACAGUGAGAGGGCACCGAGCACUCCAUUUGCCUCAAAGCCCUUGAUAGCAUCACAGCCUCCAGCCCACAGCCAGUGCUCACCAGAGGAACCCUUGCGUGUGCACCCACCCUGUACUAGGGUGGUGAGAAGAGCCUGUGAUGGUGACAUCCAGAGCAAGCCAUGGGAUUUCUGUGUUCAGCCUCAUGCCAUCUCACUCAUGAGUAAAUGUAACACAAGUGUUAUUUUCUGGUAUGAUGCACCCUGGCCAGGAGCUCAUUCAUGAUUUAUUGACAGAAAGGCAAGCGGACAAAACACAACUUCUGAAUUCCCAGAAAGGCAAAGAAUUGUAAAUGCUAAUGAAACUGAGAUAAUGGAGCAGAAAAUAAUGGAAGAGAAUGAGUCAAAAGUUAAUAACUCUUAUAUUUGAAUAUAAAGCCGCACUUCCUGAACUCAGAUGGAGUCAGAGGCUAGAGUAGAUGUGUGUCUGUGUGCCUGUCUUUCAGCUUUAAACUGGCUGUAAAAACCAUAGCUAGGACAGAAUAAUUUAAUACAGGGACAUUUUCUAACCUUUAUGGACUGUUAUUAUUAAUUGCAAAAAGAUUUUUCUCUUUUUUUUUCCUGGGGCAGCUAUCAGUGUGUGGAGUGGAGGGGCUGUAUCUGAAUACAGCCUCAGCCCUCAGCCUCAUCUCCUCAGCCCUCAGCUGGCUCAUCGCUCCAAGCGACAGCCAUGGGACAAUGCUGGUCAUUGUGCCCACAGCAGCAGAAAAGCUCCGUGUGCUUCCACACAGGCUUCGGACAGAAAUGCCCCACAAGUUUCCAUUGUUUUUCCACCAAAAGCUCUUGACAAAGAACUCCCAAGGAUGGUUAGGCAAGAGGAAUAAAAUUAAUUUAAUCUUUUCA